AAGCUAGGGGUGCCAAUAAGGCUGAGAAGGAAUAAUCCUAACCCUAUGAACCUGAUAUGGUUAAUACCAGCGGAGGGAAGCUAUAGA
rnacentral:ncRNA from 1 species